UGUGUGUGCCAUCAUUUCCCUGCAGGAUCCACUAUGCAGUCCUCAGCAGAUUUAAAUCAUGGAUGCUUUAGAAUACUGCAAGUCUGUAAGUAAAGGAGAUGCUCUUCUGCAAUGGCUCACUUUUCUACCUUUGAUUGCGAAGUGAGAUGUGCAACACACUCUAGGAGCACCCCUCAUCCAGCAACUUAAUCUGAGUCCUCCCUUCAUUCUGCAGAUCUGAACUGUAUAUGAAAAGGAAAGCUUGGGAGGAAGACAUACUCUACCAUACAGUCCUUUCCUCUUUUCGUGGAUGGCAAAAUGAUACAUCACUUCCCGAAGCUUGUGUUAGAAGAUGCCCCUUCACUGGUAAUUGUACUAAACUCUUCCACAAUAAUUGUGAUCUCAUCUUGGGAUUUACCAAAAAACAUUUAUAGCAUGCCUGAGAAGUCCAGAGGUAAUAUAUAUCUCCUCUUUGUUCCAAACUUCUUGUAACAGGGUGUGUGUUGAAUCAGUCUGUCUUGAAAUUUGUUGGUGUUUCUAAAAACUGAAUACUAUUGGUCAUUUUUGUUUGGAGAUAUCUAAGGCAACAAGUUUGUCUAAGUACCCUAAGCCAGCUGGGCAUUGGGGGUCAGUGAUAGGACUAGGAAAGAGAUACUCAUGUCCAUUUCAAAGAUUUUUGCCCUAUUGAAGAGGCUUCUGUUAGCUUCUGUGACCUCUGUUGAGUUGAUGCUGGUGUUAGCCACUGGGCUGUCUUGCUGAUAAAUUGGCUAAACCAUUAGACAUAUUCCCAGAAGGGAGUACAUGGUGAAUGGCUCACAUGGGCCCCAGGGAAGGUGGCAGCACCUCUGAAGGUCCUUUGCGCUAAGGGAGCAGAAAAGGACCUCGCUCCUGUGCUGGGUAAACAUAUUUGUCAUUGUUUUCAUUAUUUCCCUAUGUAUAGUUUUUAAUUUUUUAAUACAAAGUCAUUUAUUUAUAAUAGUAUGUAUGCACUGGCA
rnacentral:lncRNA from 1 species